AGCGAACGCUGGCGGCAGGCUUAACACAUGCAAGUCGAGCGGGCGUAGCAAUACGUCAGCGGCAGACGGGUGAGUAACGCGUGGGAACGUACCUUUUGGUUCGGAACAACACAGGGAAACUUGUGCUAAUACCGAAUAAGCCCUUACGGGGAAAGAUUUAUCGCCGAAAGAUCGGCCCGCGUCUGAUUAGCUAGUUGGUGAGGUAAUGGCUCACCAAGGCGACGAUCAGUAGCUGGUCUGAGAGGAUGAUCAGCCACAUUGGGACUGAGACACGGCCCAAACUCCUACGGGAGGCAGCAGUGGGGAAUAUUGGACAAUGGGGGCAACCCUGAUCCAGCCAUGCCGCGUGAGUGAUGAAGGCCCUAGGGUGUAAAGCUCUUUGUGCGGGAAGAUAAUGACGGUACCGCAAGAAUAAGCCCCGGCUAACUUCGUGCCAGCAGCCGCGGUAAAGUGACUACUG
rnacentral:rRNA from 1 species